rnacentral:rRNA from 1 species
UGGGGAAUAUUGCGCAAUGGGCGGAAGCCUGACGCAGCCACGCCGCGUGAGUGAUGAAGGCCUUCGGGUUGUAAAGCUCUGUCGGGAGGGAAGAAGAUCUGACGGUACCUCCCAAGAAAGCACCGGCUAACUCCGUGCCAGCAGCCGCGGUAAUACGGAGGGUGCAAGCGUUGCUCGGAAUCACUGGGCGUAAAGCGAACGCAGGCGGCUCUGCAAGUCGGGUGUGAAAGCCCGGGGCUCAACCCCGGAAAUGCACUCGAAACUGCAGGCCUUGAAUACGGGAGAGGAGAGCGGAAUUCCUGGUGUAGAGGUGAAAUUCGUAGAUAUCAGGAGGAACACCGGUGGCGAAAGCGGCUCUCUGGCCCGAUAUUGACGCUCAUGUUCGAAAGCGUGGGUAGCAAACAGGAUUAGAUACCCCCGUAGUCC